rnacentral:rRNA from 1 species
UCAGGAUGAACGCUAGCGGGCAGGCUUAACACAUGCAAGUCGAGGGGCAGCAUGAGACGGAGAUUCGUCGAAGUCUUGAUGGCGACCGGCGCAAGGGUGCGUAACGCGUGAGCAACUUGCCCGUUUCAGGGGGAUAACCGGUGGAAACGCCGACUAAUACCCCAUAGUAUCAGGUUUAGGCAUCUUUAUCUGAUUAAAGAACUUCGGAAACGGAUAGGCUCGCGUGACAUUAGCUAGAUGGUGGGGUAACGGCCCACCAUGGCGACGAUGUCUAGGGGUUCUGAGAGGAAGGUCCCCCACACUGGAACUGAGACACGGUCCAGACUCCUACGGGAGGCAGCAGUGAGGAAUAUUGGUCAAUGGUCUGACGACUGAACCAGCCAUGCCGCGUGAAGGUGACGGCCCUAUGGGUCUUAAACUUCUUUUGUAAGGGAGCAAUAAGUCUUACGUGUAGGACGAUGAGAGUACCUUACGAAUAAGCAUCGGCUAACUCCGUG